GGGGGGGCAAGCGUUUGUUCGGAUUUACUGGGCGUAAAGGGCUCGUAGGCGGCCAUUUAAGUCGGUUGUGAAAUCCCUCGGCUCAACCGGGGAACUGCGACCGAUACUGAGUGGCUUGAAGCCGGGAGAGGGAUGCGGAAUUCCAGGUGUAGCGGUGAAAUGCGUAGAUAUCUGGAGGAACACCCGUGGCGAAGGCGGCAUCCUGGACCGGUCUUGACGCUGAGGAGCGAAAGCCAAGGUAGCAAACGGGAUUAGAUACCCCGGUAGUCUUGGCCCUAAACGAUGAAUGCUUGGUGUGGCGGGUAUCGAUCCCCUGCCCGUGCCGUAGCUAACGCGUUAAGCAUUCCGCCUGGGGAGUACGGUCGCAAGGCUG
rnacentral:rRNA from 1 species